rnacentral:rRNA from 1 species
AACGCGAAGAACCUUACCUACCCUUGACAUGGUCGGAAUCCAGAAGAGAUUCGGCAUUGCUCGAAAGAGAACCGGGGCACAGGUGCUGCAUGUCAGUCGUCAGCUUGUGUCGUGAGAUGAUGGGUUAAGUCCAGCAAAGACCGCAACCCUUGUCCUUAGUUGGUACGCAAGGGCACUCUAAGGAGACUGCCGGUGACAAACCGGAGGAAGGUGGGGAUGACGUCAAGUCCUCAUGGCCCUUAUGGCUAGGGCUUCACACGUCAUACAAUGGUCGGAACAGAGGGUUGCCAACCCGCGAGGGGGAGCUAAUCCCAGAAAACCGAUCGUAGUCCGGAUUGCAGUCUGCAACUCGAGUGCAUGAAGUGGGAAUCGCUAGUAAUCGCGAUCAGCAUGGCAAUACGUUCCCGGGUCUUGUACACACCG